GCCAUCAUUCAGUUGGGCAUCUAGCGAGACUGCCGGUAAUAAACCGGAGGAAGGUGGGAUGACGUCAAAUCAUCAUGCCCCUUAUGACCUGGGCUACACACGUGCUACAAUGGUUGGUACAACGAGUUGCGAGUCGGUGACGGCGAGCUAAUCUCUUAAAGCCAAUCUCAGUUCGGAUUGUAGGCUGCAACUCGCCUACAUGAAGUCGGAAUCGCUAGUAAUCGCGGAUCAGCACGCCUAGUCCAGUGUCGGCCUU
rnacentral:rRNA from 1 species